GAUCAUAUUGAUUACAUUAGUUUUAAUAGUGUUAAAGGUACUUUUUGUUAGUUGAACCACAUGCACUAAAGUUUUGCAAACUUAGGGAACUAUUUAUGCUCCAAGUUAUAAAUAGGGGGUCAUCUAAAGCCUACUCACAAAAGUAAGGGCCUAUGUUGGACUUCUCCUUUUUAUUUUCUCCGUAAAAUACAUAUCGGAAAAUUAAUACAACAAUAGGCUUUUGCAGUGAAUUGAAACUUGCAUUAAAAAUCAUUGAAGAAUUCAGCUCCAGUGUCUUACAACUAGGCAAAUGAGGCGUAGUCUUGAAAUUUGGAAAAUGGGCACUGUCAAUUACCUGGAGGCGCUGAAGCUGCAAGAGAAGCUGGCAUCUGAUAGAAAAGCUCUUAAAAUUACUGAUACCCUAUUAUCUUUACAACAUCCACUGACAUAUACAGUUGGCAAAAGGGAAACAGUUCAUAAUCUACUCAUUCCUGAUUCAGAGCUCAAAGCCAUUGGGGCAGAACUUCACUAUACACAAAGAGGAGGUGACAUUACUUUUCACGGUCCUCACCAAGCGAUCUUGUAUCCCAUUGUUUCGUUGCGCCAUAUCGGUUUGGGGGCUCGAAAAUAUGUCGAGAAGCUUGAGCUAACCAUGAUUGAAUUGGCAUCUAUGUAUGGUGUGAAAGCACAGGUUGGAAAUAAAUGCGAAACUGGGGUUUGGGUUGAGGACAGAAAAAUUGGCGCAAUUGGAGUUAGAAUUUCAUCUGGGAUUACAUCUCAUGGAUUAGCAUUCAAUAUGGAUCCUGAUUUAAACUACUUUAAACAUAUUGUGCCUUGUGGGAUUGUGGAUAAAGAUGUUACAUCUUUGAGGAAAGAGGCAGAUGUAGAGCUUCCUGCUGAAGAAGUGAUACAAGAGCAGUUGAUCGCUUGUUUUGUAAGAAUAUUUGGGUACAACAAUGUCAUUUUGAAAGAUAAGUCAGUUUUAUGAUUUGUUAAGCAAUAUUGUUGACACUCACUGAUACAUUAUGUGACCUAUUUUUGUAUAAGUAGACAUUGUUCAUUUAUUGAUCAGAUUAACAUUCUGUAUGAAUAAGCGAUGAUUACAUCUUCUGAAUCACGAAGGAACUUCUCUACAUACUUUGCUGAAAGGUUAAAAAUGAAAUGGCACGAAACAGGGUUCUCUAUGAAGUAUUUCCCAUGUCAUUUCUGAUGGAACAAGCAGGAGGCCAAGCAUUUACAGGAAGGGAGCGGAUCAUCCUCUUAAAUUUUUCUGCUUUGGUUCGAGUUGGUCUUCGGUGGUGCUGUAUUUGUGAGUUACGGGUUUUCACUUUUCAGGAUGGGAUUCUUAUUGUUGCUGAAUAUUGCUAUGAAAGAAAUCCAGUUCUAACUUCUAUGAGUAUUCCCACCCCUUAAAGUAUGCCAGUUGAUCUUAAUUUCUAUGUUGUUGUAUAAUUUUUGUAUAUUGUCUGAUCUUUCAUUGUGCUAGGGCAAAGUUCAGCUGCAUACUUAUCUUUUAAUUUUUGUGAUCGCCAAUACGUUCAAAAUGCUUGAUAUUAUGUGCUUUUGGUUUUACUACCGUAUUCCUACACAAAUAUGUAAAUAUUGUACAAAUCAUUCCUUCUUUUCCCUUUGGCUACUGAUUUUCCUGCUUUGCUUUGGUAUGUAAUUUCUGUUAUUACCGUUAUUAGAAAGCUGAGAUCCAAAUUGCUUCUAUUUCACCUUAUAAUCCGAAGGGCACUACUUAUACUUAUCAGGCAACUAUACUUCUUUCUUUGUA